GGAAGGAUCAUUACUGAAUUGUCAACAAGAGUUGUUGCUGGCCCCUGUACGGGGGCAUGUGCACGCUCUGUUUACACAUCCACUCACACCUGUGCACCCUCUGUAGUUCUAUGGCCUGGGGGGGCUCUGUCCUCCUGUGCUGUGGUUCUACGUCUUUACACACACACUGUAAUAAAGUCUUAUGGAAUGUACGUCGCGUUUAACGCAAUGAAAUACAACUUUCAGCAACGGAUCUCUUGGCUCUCGCAUCGAUGAAGAACGCAGCGAAAUGCGAUAAGUAAUGUGAAUUGCAGAAUUCAGUGAAUCAUCGAAUCUUUGAACGCACCUUGCGCCCUUUGGCUAUUCCGAAGGGCAUGCCUGUUUGAGUAUCAUGAACACCUCAACUCUCAUGGCUUGCCUGUGAUGAGCUUGGACUUUGGGGGUCUUGCUGGCCUGUGGUCGGCUCCUCUCGAAUAAAUUAGCUUGCCGGUGUUUGGUGGGGUCACAGGUGUGAUAACUAUCUACGCUUGCGGUUUUCCACCAGGUAACCUUCAGCAAUGGAGGUUCACCGGAGCUUACAAAUGUCUCUCCUCAGUGAAGACAGAUUUUGACCAUUUGAUCUCAAAUCAGGUAGGACUACCCGCUGAACUUAAGCAUAUCAAUAAGCGGAGGAAAAGAAACUAACAAGGAUUCCCCUAGUAACUGCGAGUGAAGCGGGAAGAGCUCAAAUUUAAAAUCUGGCGUGCCUCUGGUCGUCCGAGUUGU
rnacentral:rRNA from 1 species